rnacentral:rRNA from 1 species
UGAAAGUCCUUCGGGAUGAGUAAAGUGGCGCACGGGUGAGUAACACGUAGGUGACCUACCUUUUAGAGGGGAAUAACCAGAAGAAAUUUUGGCUAAUGCCGCAUACGAAGAGCAAAUAUAAUAGUAGCUCUUGAAAGAAUGCCUCUGUAUAUGCAUUCACUAAUUGAUGGGCCUGCGGGACAUUAGCUAGUUGGUGGGGUAAAGGCCUACCAAGGCAACGAUGUCUAUCCGGUCUGAGAGGAUGAUCGGACACACUGGAACUGAGACACGGUCCAGACUCCUACGGAAGGCAGCAGUGGGGAAUAUUGCGCAAUGGGGGAAACCCUGACGCAGCAACGCCGCGUGGGUGAGGAAGGACUUCGGUCUGUAAAGCUCUGUUAAUGUGGAAAAAUGGUUAGUGGUCUAAUAGGCCAUUGAUUUGAUGGUACACAUAGAGGAAGCACCGGCUAACUUCGUGCCAGCAGCCGCGGUAAUACGAAGGGUGCAAGCGUUGUUCGGAUUUAUCGGGCGUAAAGCGCGCGUAGGCGGACCUGCAAGUCAGAUGUGAAAUCUCGGGGCUCAACCUCGAAACUGCGUCUGAAACUACAGGUCUAGAAUCUUGGAGGGGGAAGGGGAAUUUCUCAUGUAGGGGUAAAAUCCGUAGAUAUGAGAAGGAACACCAGAGGCGAAGGCGCCUUCCUGGACAAGUAUUGACGCUGAGGCGCGAAAGCGUGGGGAUCAAACAGGAUUAGAUACCCUGGUAGUCCACGCUGUAAACGAUGAAUACUAGAUAUUGCAGGAUUUGACCCCUGCAGUGUCGUAGCUAACGCGUUAAGUAUUCCGUCUGGGAAGUACGGUCGCAAGACUAAAACUCAAAGGAAUUGACGGGGGCCCGCACAAGCGGNGGAUUAUGUNGNUUUAAUUCGAAGCAACGCGCANAA